GAUGAACGCUGGCGGCGUGCCUAAUACAUGCAAGUCGAGCGAACAGACGAGGAGCUUGCUCCUCUGACGUUAGCGGCGGACGGGUGAGUAACACGUGGAUAACCUACCUAUAAGACUGGGAUAACUUCGGGAAACCGGAGCUAAUACCGGAUAAUAUAUUGAACCGCAUGGUUCAAUAGUGAAAGACGGUUUUGCUGUCACUUAUAGAUGGAUCCGCGCCGCAUUAGCUAGUUGGUAAGGUAACGGCUUACCAAGGCGACGAUGCGUAGCCGACCUGAGAGGGGAACCGGCCACCCUGGAAUUGAAAAACGAUCCAGAGCCCUACGGAAGGCAGCAGUAGGGAUACUUCCGGAAUGGGCGAAAGCCUGAAGGAGCAACGCGGCGGCAUUGAUACAGGCCUCCGAAUCGUAAACUCUGUUAUUAGGGAAGAACAAAUGUGUAAGUAACUAUGCACGUCUUGACGGUACCUAAUCAGAAAGCCACGGCUAACUACGUG
rnacentral:rRNA from 1 species